rnacentral:lncRNA from 10 species
CUGCCAUAUGAGAUGUGCCUUUCAUUUUCCACCAUGAUCGUGAGGAACUGUAAGUCCAAUAAACCUCUUUCUUUUGUAAAUUGCCUAGUCUCAGGUAUGUCUUUAUCAGCAGUGUGAAAAUGGACGAAUACAAUGAUUAUUACUAAAAACAUUUUGUUGUAAAUGGGGUAUGUGUGAUAAAAAGGAACCCACUCUGAGCGUGAAGUACAUUGGGCACCCACUGCAGAUGCUCAGACAUGCCUCAUGGAUAUCAGCAGAGGAAAUGCUUCCUGGCUGCCUGCUACCUUCAGGGGACUGUGCUGAGUGACUUGCAGACAUUGUCUCAUCUAAUCCUCAGAAAAACAUCAUUUUAGAAAUGAGAAAACAGCUAAGAGAGCCAUUCACUUGCAAGAGGAGAAGCUGAGACUUGAACCCAUGCUAAGACCGUUCAUUCACUGUCAUCUCUCAGAAAGGCCUUGGUUUGUUGAAAGUGAUGCGUUUUGAUCCUGCCUGCCCAGAGCAGGCAAGGGCAAGAUUCCUGGAUGCAACUUCUCUGCUGAAGAGAACAUUAUCGGCUCCUGAGCUCGGACUGAGACACGCAUGCUGACUCUCCCCACUGGCUCCCCUUGGAUGCCUUCCUCCGGCCCCAUCUGUACCCCUGCAAAGGCAAGACUUGCUUGGGAGGUUUUUGAAUGUGCCUGCCUGCAUCCAACGCCUGUGCAUCCAUUACCCAGCAGAAGUGCCGUCCAUUACCCAGCUGAUGUGCUGUCCAUUACCCAGUGGAAGUGCCGUCCAUUACCCAGCAGAAGUAGAACGUCGCCAACGCUUUUGAAGUCUCUGUGCCUCCUUCUGAAUUGCAUUCCCCCUGACCCCACAUAGAAGCUCUGCAGUUAAUGAUGAACACCGCAACAGCCACCUUAUCAAAUACUUCCAAAUGCCAGCCUGAAACUCACAUGGGAGAUUGACAGAGGCCAAGGACGUGUGAUUUUUAAGGCAGGCCAUAACUCAGGAUCACGAGCUUGGAGACUUGAAUGCAGCAAAAGGCAAACUGAGCUUGGCUCCUGCAAGAGCCUCCUGUAAACGUGAGCUGUGUCCCAGCAGCCUUCGAAGGUGGACUCUAAAGAGAAAAUGUCUCAAAGUAUUGUAGAAGAUGGCUGUGACUUGGAGUUGUGUUGGGGAAAAUUUUGCAAGCACAUUAUUAGAAUAUAUCAAUUAAAUAUGACAUCAAUAUGAGAGUUAAGGUGAAAUUCAAAUUCCUUGCUGGAAACAACCAUAGCAAUGACUCAUCCUAUAGGUCUUGAAUUAAAGCUAUAUUUCAGUAACACUGUAUAUUUCAAAACCACAAAAUGGAAGCUUUGAUUUUUCAUUCAGUCACCUGAAAAGUACUAUAACAGUAUUCGAGAGCAAUGAAAUUGCAUUUCAGAGACCUGACAUGAGAUAGCUAGUUGGUGUUCAGAAAGUGUUUGGGUUUUAACGACCCCUUCUGAUUUGUUCUUCACUCAAAGCUGCUGCCAAUAAGCUACUCCUAGAGGAUACUGAAAGAUCCUUUCCUGUUUUUAAAAGAAAUAACAUGCUUCAUCAACAAUUAUUACAAACUUUGGAAGGAAACGGUACUGCAGGAGCUCUAUCUCUUUUUCUCCAGUGAAAAUUGCAUUUCUAUAAUUCAAGAUCUAGUCACAAGGGCUUAAGCAAGACCUUGUGCCAGCAAUCAGGCAUGGAUCAAAUGCACUUUUGCCUUCCUAAGCUGACGGACAUUUGAGUAGCUUCCAGUAUGGGGCUGCUAGUGAGCCAGCUGCGAGAGUGUGUCACAUGGGUCACAGUGUGCUGGUGCCCAGGACUACUCCUAAUGUGCGUGAAUGCUCACGGAGCUGCUUGGAACAGCGCCGGCUGCGCGGCAUCGUCUGUUACCCUUCUGCCGGCAGAUGCAAGCCUCGGGCGAGAAAGGCCACAGCUCCCCACCUGUGAAAACCAACUCUUGUUUCCAUGAAAAGAGUUUUUAAAAAAGAUCAGCAACUGAGAACAGAAAGGAGGAAACCAAGGCACAGCCAGGAGAAAUGACUUGCCCAGCUCAACAACCAGUGAGGAGAGGUAUCAGGAUUCAAACCAGGCAGUGUGGCUCCAGAGUCCAUGGCCUUUAUCACUGCCCCCUACCCUUUGGCAAGCUCCACUUUUGAUAGCGCUGAUGUGAUAGCAGACAACGUGUAAUUGCCAAACUUUAGUCAUCAGCACGCUAGCUUUGAAUGGAAACACAAGGGGAGUUUCCGAGCUCUGAGAAGUUUCUCUACAGCUUCUGAGGUGAGGAUCCACCCUGCAUGAAGGAUACUGGGCCACUCAGGCCUUCUCCCACUCCGCGGCAGGAUCCUAGCGCCUGAGGACACUGGAGCCAUUCCAGGUGAGAUCGGCUGUGUGACUAGCCUGCAGUGCAGCAGACAUUUGUGUAGGGCGUCUCUCCACACAUCAGAUGAGCUUCUUGACUCAGGCUAAUUUGAGCCUGUUUCAUUAUGACCUGGGUGAGAAGACACCCGAAGCCAGAGAGCACUUUGGUGCUUUUUAUGACCUUGAGAGUUUCUCUUCCUAAUAAGCUGUUUCCUGGCAUCAUUCUAGCCAAGCCCCCUUUCCCGUUUGAUAACCAAUGUUGCUGUGUUGCCAUUCCCCUCCCCUGAGUUUAAAACAUUUGACAACCUGCAUUCUAAAUGAAAAAAAUCCUGAUAUGCAACCAGUCUUGUCUUUCACAAAACUAAACAAGAGUUUCUCUUUGGCUUAACAAAAUCUUAGAGCAGCCAACCUUGGAGUGUAUUUUAGUUACUUUACAUCCAAACUGUAGGAUUUAGUGAAAAGCCAUGUGUUUACUACCAUGAAGUAGAAAUGUGUUGAAAACACACCAUCCAAUUGCUAUGGUGCAGGCUCUUCUAACAGCCUAUCGGAACUUCCUUCACUUCACAAAUGAUACACUCUAGGGUAGAACUUCCUAUUUUUAAAACCGCAUAAAUUCCCCCACCCAUUCCCCUUACAACACUUCAACAAUCUGAUUACGUCGUAUUUUCAUUUUCCUACUGUGAUUGACGCUUUAUGUGAAACCUCACCAAGCUCUGAGAAACUCCUAGGAAUGCAGUCACACUAAGUGAGAUCCACUUUUGCUGUUUUUCCUUGAUUUGAAGGUCAGAUGGACAUUCAGUAUUUUCCCCAGUUGGGUUCACUGCAAACAGGAUCAGUCUGGAAAACAUAUUCUUGUCCCAUGACGAGAAUCCAGAGGGAACUAUGUUUGCCUUUUCAUUGAUGUGAUUAUCAAUGUGGAUUUUGUAGUUUAAAAACAAAGCAACUCCAUUUUGCAACUGCAUUCUCCAUAGAAAUUUGACCUUUGGUGGGGCUGACUAAUCUUAUCAACAAAUCGGUCCCACAAUGAUUAUUCCACCCAUUAAUUCUCAGCAACAAAUGGUAAGCAAGAUGGCCAGGAAGGAUGACUGACUCCCUCGCAGGCUCGGCCAGGCUUCAGGCCCUAUCUUUGGAUCUGUGUUCAUCAUGGUGAUUGUCAACUGCAAGCCUGAUUUGAUAGCCUUUCCUCUCGUGGUAUUACUCGGAGGUAAUGUGCAAGCAGAGAGACCCGGAUGCAAAUUCUGCUCUAUAGUUGACCAUUAUCUUACAAUGAUCUCAGUUUCCCAUAACACCAAUUUCUAUGUUUUCCAUUUAUAAACACCUGUAAUUCGCCUUGCUUGGCUUUGUGAUGUGUGAGUACAAUACAUUUGAUGUUAUAAUGGAAAUGUGCACUAAUAAAAUGCACCUUUAGCCAUUUGCUAUCUUAGGGAUUUCUGUAAUGCAUUAUUUAUAAGAAAGAUGGGUUUAGCCUUUUUUUUUUUUUUUUUGGUGAGACAGAGUUUCACUCUUGUCGUCCAGGCUGGAGUGCAAUCGCAUAAUAUCAGCUUACUGCAACCUCUGCCUCCCAGGUUCAAGCUAUUCUCCUACCUCAGCCUCCCAAGUAGCUGGGACUACAGGCACAUGCCACCAAGCCUAGCUAAUUUUUGUAUUUUUAGUAGAGACGGGGUUUCACCAUGUUGGCCAGGAUGGUCUUGAACUCCUGACCUCAGGUGAUCGCCUGCCUCAGCCUCCCAAAGUGCUGGGAUUACAGGCGUGAGCCACCAUGCCCAGCCCGGCCAUUUCUAUAAUUUUGAAAACUACUGGCUAAGGAGAAUAAUGGUGCUGAGGCUGGGGGUGUCCGGAGAACCAGCAUCCAUCUCCCAAGAAAACAAGGCGGCAGCCUGGGGCCUGGGACUGGGAGGGCAAUGAAAGAGCUCAGUGUUAUGCCCAGGAGUGAGGAAGGGCCGGGGGCAUCUCUGAGCCCCUGUGAGCACAGGAGCCCUGCCUGUCUCAGGUCUGGAAGAGGGUCUCACUUCCGGCUUCAAAACGGGCUGCCUCUCCUGUGCUGCGGUGAAGCCCCUGAGUAACAGAUGCUGAAGCCCGUGUGCUAGGAACUCAGAAGACGGGGCAGUCCCGCCCCUCCCUCCAGAUUCCGCAAGGGAAAUUACAAAGGGGUCAAGAUCAGAGGAAAUGUAGCCUCAGGAGCUUUACAGGAACCCAGUGGAGCUAAAGAAGGAGAAAGAGCCUGUGCUGGGCCUCUCUGUCCCGGAACUAGGCACAGCACACAGAGCCCUUCUUUUCCCCAGGUGUCAUGCCGAGCAGGUGCUGUGGGUUUGCUGUCUACCUGGGACUCGCACCCUUCCCCUGGUCCUACUUACACUUUUUUUUUCUUGAGACAGGGUCGCACUGUGUUGUCCAGGCUGGAGUGCAGUGGCAUGAUCACGGCUCACCGCAGCCUUGACUGCUGAGGCUCAAGUGAUCCUUCCACCUCAGCCUCCCAAGUAGCUGGGACCACAGGUGCUUGCCACAGCACCUGGCUAAUUAUUUUGUAUUUUUUGUAGAGAUGGAGUUUUUGCCAUGUUGCCCAGGCUGGUCUGGAAUUCCUGGGCUCAAACAAUCCUACCUCCUCGACUUCCCAGAGUUGGGAUUACAGGUGUGAGCCACUUCACACGGUGCUCCUGGCUCAUUUAACAAAGGUACAUUGGGCAGCACAGGCCGGGGCUGGGCUCUCUUUCUUAGGGAGUUUCUCCAGCUAGAAUGACUCAGGGAUAUCCUACUCUAACAAAAUCUUUCCCUUGAUUCUGCCUUCCCCUCAAGCUACUAUCCUAUCUCAUCCCGGCAACUUCUUGAAAGAAAGGAAUCACCACCCCAGACCAUUGUGUGUGUCUCUCUCUGACCUAACACACCUGGCUCCCUGUACCCCACUGCACCAAUGACAUCAUCCUCCGAAAGGUCACCAGCAACUUCCUGAUUUCAAAACCCAGCAGCUUUCUGUCAGCCCCGAGUCCUCACUGACCUCUCACCUAGCGAUUUACACUGGCAGCCACCCGUCACCGGGGGUAUGCACUUUGCUUCUGUGACUCUACCACCUGCUUCUCCCACCACCUCUCUGAUGCUUCUGUGCUGUCUCUGAGGACUCUUCCACCUAUUCUUGUUCUUCUUAAGGAAGACGGUUGUGUCAGUCUUUCAGGGCUGCUAAUACAAGGUAACAUGACUG